rnacentral:rRNA from 1 species
UACGAAGGGGGCUAGCGUUGCUCGGAAUCACUGGGCGUAAAGCGCACGUAGGCGGAUUGCUAAGUCAGGGGUGAAAUCCUGGAGCUCAACUCCAGAACUGCCUUUGAUACUGGCGAUCUCGAGUCCGGGAGAGGUGAGUGGAACUGCGAGUGUAGAGGUGAAAUUCGUAGAUAUUCGCAAGAACACCAGUGGCGAAGGCGGACUCACUGGCCCGGUACUGACGCUGAGGUGACG